rnacentral:misc_RNA from 1 species
UUACUGGGCUAGUUUGGGUUGAAGCCUAUUUUUGCCCUACUGAAAUUUUGACAACUUCAAUAGUAUGAAAUGAAUGUUCGGUUUGCUACCAUUUUUUGCCCACACAAGCUCAAAUUCUAUACUACAAAAUUUGGUAGGGCAAAAUUGGCUCCAAACCAAACAAGCACACU